rnacentral:rRNA from 1 species
GACAGAGGGUGCAAACGUUGUUCGGAUUUACUGGGCGUAAAGCGCGUGUAGGCGGCUUCGUAAGUUGGAUGUGAAAUCCCACGGCUCAACCGUGGACGUGCAUCCAAAACUACGUCGCUGGAGUCUCGGAGAGGAAGGUGGAAUGCUUGGUGUAGAGGUGAAAUUCGUAGAUAUCAAGCAGAACACCUGCGGCGAAGGCGGCCUUCUGGACGAAUGACUGACGCUGAGACGCGAAAGCGUGGGGAGCAAACAGG